AGCUCCAAUAGCGCAUAUUAACAUUGUUGCGGUUAAAAAGCUCGUAGUUGGAUUUCUGCUGAGGACGACCGGUCCGCCCUCCGGGUGAGCAUCUGGUUCGGCCUUGGCAUCUUCUUGGCGAACGUGUGUGCACUUGACUGUGUGGUGCGGUGCCUAGGACUUUUACUUUAAGGAAAUUAGAAUGUUUCAAGCAGGCAUACGCCUUGAAUACAUUAGCAUGGAAUAAUAAGAUAGGACCUCGGUUCUAUUUUGUUGGUUUCUACAGCUGAGGUGAUGAUUAAUAGGGGUAGUUGGGGGCAUUCGUAUUUAACUGUCAGAAGUGGAAUUCUUGGAUUUGUUAAAGACGGAGUACUGCGAAAGCAUUUGCCAAGAAUGUUCCCA
rnacentral:rRNA from 1 species